rnacentral:rRNA from 1 species
UGUCCUACGGGACGCAGCAGUGGGGAAUAUUGCACAAUGGGGGAAACCCUGAUGCAGCGACGCCGCGUGAAGGAAGAAGUAUUUCGGUAUGUAAACUUCUAUCAGCAGGGAAGAAAAUGACGGUACCUGACUAAGAAGCCCCGGCUAACUACGUGCCAGCAGCCGCGGUAAUACGUAGGGGGCAAGCGUUAUCCGGAUUCACUGGGCGUAAAGGGAGCGUAGACGGCGACGCAUGUCUGGAGUGAAAGCCCGGGGCCCACCCCCG